GAGGAACCUGCCUUUCAGUGGGGGACAACAGUUGGAAACGACUGCUAAUACCGCAUGAAGCAUUUAGGGGGCAUCCCCUGAAUGCCAAAGAUUUAUUGCUGAAAGAUGGCCUCGCGUCUGAUUAGCUAGUUGGAGGGGUAACGGCCCACCAAGGCGACGAUCAGUAGCCGGUCUGAGAGGAUGAACGGCCACAUUGGGACUGAGAUACGGCCCAGACUCCUACGGGAGGCAGCAGUGGGGAAUAUUGGGCAAUGGGGGAAACCCUGACCCAGCAACGCCGCGUGAAGGAAGAAGGCUUUCGGGUUGUAAACUUCUUUUACCAGGGACGAAGAAAGUGACGGUACCUGGAGAAAAAGCCACGGCUAACUACGUGCCAGCAGCCGCGGUAAUACGUAGGUGGCAAGCGUUGUCCGGAUUUACUGGGUGUAAAGGGCGUGUAGGCGGAGAUUCAAGUCAGGAGUGAAAACUAUGGGCUUAACCCAUAAA
rnacentral:rRNA from 1 species